rnacentral:rRNA from 1 species
AUUGAACGCUGGCGGCAGGCCUAACACAUGCAAGUCGAACGGUAACAGGAAGCAGCUUGCUGCUUUGCUGACGAGUGGCGGACGGGUGAGUAAUGUCUGGGAAACUGCCUGAUGGAGGGGGAUAACUACUGGAAACGGUAGCUAAUACCGCAUAACGUCGCAAGACCAAAGAGCGGGACCUUCGGGCCUCUUGCCAUCGGAUGUGCCCAGAUGGGAUUAGCUAGUAGGUGGGGUAACGGCUCACCUAGGCGACGAUCCCUAGCUAGUCUGAGAGGAUGACCAGCCACACUGGAACUGAGACACGGUCCAGACUCCUACGGGAGGCAGCAGUGGGGAAUAUUGCACAAUGGGCGAAAGCCUGAUGCAGCCAUGCCGCGUGUAUGAAGAAGGCCUUCGGGUUGUAAAGUACUUUCAGCGGGGAGGAAGGGAGUAAAGUUAAUACCUUUGCUCAUUGACGUUACCCGCAGAAGAAGCACCGGCUAACUCCGUG